rnacentral:rRNA from 1 species
CCUACGGGAGGCAGCAGUGAGGAAUAUUGGUCAAUGGACGAGAGUCUGAACCAGCCAAGUAGCGUGAAGGAUGACUGCCCUAUGGGUUGUAAACUUCUUUUAUAAAGGAAUAAAACGAGGCACGUGUGCCUUUUUGCAUGUACUUUAUGAAUAAGGAUCGGCUAACUCCGUGCCAGCAGCCGCGGUAAUACGGAGGAUCCGAGCGUUAUCCGGAUUUAGUGGGUUUAAAGGGAGCGUAGAUGGGUUGUUAAGUCAGUUGUGAAAGUUUUCGGCUCAACCGUAAAAUUGCAAUUGAUACUGGCAGUCUUGAGUACAGUUGAGGUAGGCGGAAUUCGUGGUGUAGCGGUGAAAUGCUUAGAUAUCACGAAGAACCCCGAUUGCGAAGGCAGCUUACUAAACUGUGACUGACAUUGAUGCUCGAAAGUGAGGGUAUCAAACAGGAUUAGAUACCCGUGUAGUC